UACAGAGGGUGCAAGCGUUAAUCGGAAUUACUGGGCGUAAAGCGUGCGUAGACGGUUGCGUAAGUCAGAUGUGAAAGCCCCGGGCUCAACCCUGGGAAUUGCAUUUGAGACUGCGUAGCUAGGGUGCGGAAGAGGGAAGCGGAAUUUCCGGUGUAGCGGUGAAAUGCGUAGAUAUCGGAAGGAACACCAGUGGCGAAAAGCGGCUUC
rnacentral:rRNA from 1 species